UUGUGGUGUAUUUUUUUCAUCUUUGUAGAUCCGAGGUUCAGAUUCAGAAUUGUAUCGAUCACGACCACGUAUCGUGGUAGUAGUCUAUCCUGUAAUGACAGUUUUUGUUUUAUUUUAACAUUCAAUUCAAAAUUCUGUUCAUCUGUUCGACUCGUAAUCGUAGCUUAUGUGUUAUUUUCAGAUGGCAUAUUCGAUUUGAUUCGUGAUUAAGUAAUAGGCACCUACUACAAAUUCUAUUUGAUAAUUUCGAUAUAAUUAAAUCCUAGCAGAAAUAUUCAACGUGUGGUUUAUUUACCUGGCUGCGAAUACGUUUGAUUUAUAGCUGCUGCUGGUAUCAAUACAAUACCUAACAAUGAGUGACUUAGCGAUUGGAAUCGACUUGGGUACAACGUACUCCUGCGUGGGUGUUUUCCGGCAUGGCAAAGUGGAAAUUAUUGCGAACGAUCAAGGUAACAGAACUACGCCGAGUUAUGUCGCUUUUACAAAUAUCGAAAUUUUGGUCGGAGAGCCAGCCAAAAAACAGGCCACUAGGAACCUACGUAAUACGGUUUUCGAUGUCAAAAGAUUGAUGGGUCGUAAAUUUGAAGACGAUAAGGUUCAGAGCGAUAUGAAGCAGUGGCCUUUCCAGCUCAUUGAUGAUAACAACAAUCCGAAAAUCGAAGUUGAAUUCAAAGGCAUUUCUAAAACGUACUUCCCCGAAGAGAUAUCUUCGAUGGUGUUGGGAAAAAUGAAAGAUACUGCUGAAGCAUAUCUUGGUAAAACGGUAAAGAAUGCUGUAAUUACUGUGCCCGCUUAUUUCAACGAUUCCCAAAGAGCCGCUACAGUAGAUGCUGCUAAAAUUGCCGGAUUAAACGUACUUCGUAUCAUUAAUGAACCUACGGCUGCCGCAAUAGCUUACGGUCUAGAAGAAAAAAAUUCUGAAGCGCAAAACGUAUUGAUUUUCGAUCUUGGUGGCGGAACUUUUGAUGUCUCCAUUUUAACAAUUCAGAACGGUGUUUUCGAAGUGAAAUCAACUGCCGGUGACACUCACUUAGGUGGCGAAGAUUUCGACAGCAAAAUGGUCGACUAUUUCGUUGAAAAAAUCAAACGUAAAUACAAUAAUGAUCUCUCGAAGAACAAGAGAGCCCUGCACCGUCUGAGAGCUGCUUGCGAAGGAGCGAAGAGAACUUUAUCAUCAGCCACAGCAGCCGAUAUUGAUGUUGAGUCUCUUUUCGAUAGUAUCGAUUUCUACAGCCCAAUCUCUCGUGCUCGUUUUGAAAAACUGAACUCGGACUUCUUCAAAAAGGCAAUGGAACUGGUUGAAAAAACCAUCCGAGACGCAGCUAUUGAAAAAACACAAAUUCAUCACGUCGUUUUAGUGGGAGGCUCGUCGCGCAUCCCGAAAAUCCAGAAAAUGUUGCAAGAUUUAUUCGACGGAAAGGAACUGAGCAAAUUGAUUAAUCCCGACGAGGCUGUAGCACAUGGAGCCGCUGUUCAGGCUGCGAUACUAAACGGUGUCAAAUCGAAGGAAAUAGGAGACGUAGUGUUGAUGGAUGUUACACCAUUGUCGUUAGGUAUCGAUGUUAAAAGUCAAAGUGGAGGUGAUAACAGAAUGGCCGUGGUUAUCAAACGUAACACUCCAAUUCCAGUCAGACAAACUGAAGUUUUUUCUCCCUGUAAUGAUAUUGAUAGUUACACCAACAUACGGUUUAAAGUAUUGGAAGGCGAGUAUGUUUUUGCUAGGGAUAAUCAUUUGCUUGGUAUGUUUGAUCUGAAUGAACUCCCUGCGAAAUCACGCGAUGAUGUUAAUUUGGAUGUAACCUUCGAAAUCGAUGCUAACGGCAUAUUGAACGUAACUGCUGUCGAAAGAUCCAGCGGUAGAAGAAACCAACUGACCAUCACGUACGAUAAAGGUCGUCUCAGUCAAGAUGAAAUUGAGCGUAUGAUCGAGGACGCUGAAAAAUUACGAUACGAAGGACAAAGCCGAAAAGCUGCAUUAGUCGCCAAGUCAGCUUUAGAAUCGUACUGUGCUAACGUGAAGAGCACAAUACAAGAUGAAAAAUUGAAAAGUAAAAUUAAUCUAUCUGAUAAAGACGUGAUUUUGAAAAAAUGCAAAGAAACCAUUGCCUGGUUGAAGACUGACGUACUAGCUGGAAAAGAGCAGUACGAACGUAAGCAAAAAGAAAUACAGAAAAUAUUCGAUGUAAUUAUCUCGAUAGCUCGCUGUCCUAGUAAAGAAAACGACGAAUAUUAUGAGUUGCUAAAAGUGACGAAAAAUGCCACCGAAGAUGACAUCAAGAAUGCACACAGGGAAAUAGCUUACAAGUAUCAUCCCGACCUAUACCAGGGAGACGAGGAAAUAGGAAAUUUGUAUUGGCUGACUUUCAUGAAAGCGAAAACUUCUCUUAUCCAACUAGUUAAAGCACUCACAAUACGAGGUAAAAACACCACCGCAUGAAUGUAUUCGAUAAAUUCAAUGUAGAGAUACCUCAACAUUUUUGUGAUUUUUACUUCAUCUUCUUCAUUUUGAGCUUUUAAGUGUUAUCCAAUUAUUUUAACUAUGGCGCAGAUUUGAAUUUUAUUGCUGACGUGUUUAAAGGCGAUUAAAUCAACGGCGUCUGUAUUAUUAAGUAUAAGUAUUAGUUGACACAUUUUUUUUCGUUAGGUGUGUCCACUGAUUAUUUUUAUUUUGUGUUAUUUUUAUUUGUACGUUGUUUCAUGUUUCUAAGAUAUACGUACUAGAUAGAUACGCGCAUAAUUAUGAUGGUUAUUCUGAAUGAAAAAUUACUUUUUUAAAAUAGAAGUUGAAUUUUGUUUUUAAAAGCGACGAUCGUAUUUCUUUUCUAAAAAUGAAGUUCAACGACCUUUAAAAA